AUUGAACGCUGGCGGCAGGCCUAACACAUGCACGUCGAGCGAGCGGCGGACGGGUGAGUAAUGGCUGGGGACUGCCCGAUAGAGGGGGAAAAAUACUGGAAACGGUGGAUAAUACCGCAUAAUAUCGGAUAACCAAGAGGGGAUUAGCUCGUAGGUGGGGUAAAGGCUUACCUAGGCGACGAUCUCUAGCUGGUCUGAGAGGAUGAUCAGCCACACUGGGACUGAGACACGGCCCAGACUCCUACGGAGGCAGCAGUGGGUAAUAUUUCACAAUGGGCGCAAGCCUGAUGCAGCCAUGCCGCGGGUAUGAAGAAGGCCUUAGGGUUGUAAAGUACUUUCAGCGGGGAGGCGUUACCCGCAGAAGAAGCACCGGCUAACUCCGUGCCAGCCGCCGCGGGAAUUC
rnacentral:rRNA from 1 species